UACGGAGGGGGCUAGCGUUGUUCGGAAUUACUGGGCGUAAAGCGCACGUAGGCGGCUUUUCAAGUCAGAGGUGAAAGCCCGGGGCUCAACUCCGGAAUUGCCUUCGAUACUGUCGGUCUCGAGUCCGGGAGAGGUGAGUGGAAUUCCUAGUGUAGAGGUGAAAUUCGUAGAUAUUAGGAAGAACACCAGUGGCGAAGGCGGCUCACUGGCCCGGUACUGACGCUCAGGUGCGAAAGCGUGGGGAGCAAACAGG
rnacentral:rRNA from 1 species